rnacentral:rRNA from 1 species
GCCAGACUCCUACGGGAGGCAGCAGUGGGGAAUAUUGCACAAUGGGGGAAACCCUGAUGCAGCAACGCCGCGUGAGUGAAGAAGUAUUUCGGUAUGUAAAGCUCUAUCAGCAGGGAAGAAGAAGGACGGUACCUGACUAAGAAGCCCCGGCUAACUACGUGCCAGCAGCCGCGGUAAUACGUAGGGGGCGAGCGUUAUCCGGAUUUACUGGGUGUAAAGGGAGCGUAGACGGUUAAUCAAGUCUGAAGUGAAAGCCCGCGGCUCAACUGCGGAACGGCUUUGGAAACUGAGUAACUGGAGUGCUGGAGGGGCAGGCGGAAUUCCUGGUGUAGCGGUGAAAUGCGUAGAUAUCAGGAGGAACACCGGUGGCGAAGGCGGCCUGCUGGACAGUAACUGACGUUGAGGCUCGAAAGCGUGGGGAGCAAACAGGAUUAGAUACCCUAGUAU